rnacentral:rRNA from 1 species
CCUACGGGAGGCAGCAGUGAGGAAUAUUGGUCAAUGGACGAGAGUCUGAACCAGCCAAGUAGCGUGAAGGAUGACUGCCCUAUGGGUUGUAAACUUCUUUUAUAAAGGAAUAAAACGAGGCACGUGUGCCUUUUUGCAUGUACUUUAUGAAUAAGGAUCGGCUAACUCCGUGCCAGCAGCCGCGGUAAUACGGAGGAUCCGAGCGUUAUCCGGAUUUAUUGGGUUUAAAGGGAGCGUAGAUGGGUUGUUAAGUCAGGUGUGAAAGUUUGCGGCUCAACCGUAAAAUUGCAAUUGAUACUGGCAGUCGUGAGUACAGUUGAGGUAGGCGGAAUUCGUGGUGUAGCGGUGAAAUGCUUAGAUAUCACGAAGAACCCCGAUUGCGAAGGCAGCUUACUAAACUGUGACUGACAUUGAUGCUCGAAAGUGUGGGUAUCAAACAGGAUUAGAUACCCGGGUAGUC